AGCCGGGUCUGAAGCGCAGCCUGAUCAGCCAUGCCGCGUGUGUGAAGAAGGCCUUAUGGUUGUAAAGCACUUUAAGCGAGGAGGAAGCUACUUUAGUUAAUACCUAGAGAUAGUGGACGUUACUCGCAAAAAAAGCACCGGCUAACUCUGUGCCAGCAGCCGCGGUAAUACAGAGGGUGCAAGCGUUAAUCGGAUUUACUGGGCGUAAAGCGCGCGUAGGCGGCUAAUUAAGUCAAAUGUGAAAUCCCCGAGCUUAACUUGGGAAUUGCAUUCGAUACUGGUUAGCUAGAGUGUGGGAGAGGAUGGUAGAAUUCCAGGUGUAGCGGUGAAAUGCGUAAAGAUCUGGAGGAAUACCGAUGGCAAAGGCAGCCAUCUGGCCUAACACUGACCCUAAGGUGCGAAAGGUGGGGGAGCAAACAGGAAAAACCCC
rnacentral:rRNA from 1 species